AGGAGCCGUAUGAGGCGGAAGCUUCACGUACGGUUCUGAAGCCGAGCCUUUCCAGCCAGCAAUGGGGCUUAGGGACCGAUAUGAUGAUCGGUUUAGGUAGGGCGGCCUACUACAAC
rnacentral:ncRNA from 1 species